CACCAAACCCUCUCACUACGGAUCGUGAGGCACGUACCUGCCUCUGAAAGGAUGACAUU
rfam:Bifidobacterium thermophilum RBL67, complete genome.